rnacentral:rRNA from 1 species
CCACCUGAUCCCAUGCCGAACUCAGAAGUGAAACGCCGUAGCGCCGAUGGUAGUGUGGGGUCUCCCCAUGCGAGAGUAGGGAACUGCCAGGC